rnacentral:rRNA from 1 species
GAUGAACGCUGGCGGCGUGCCUAAUACAUGCAAGUCGAGCGAACAGACGAGGAGCUUGCUCCUCUGACGUUAGCGGCGGACGGGUGAGUAACACGUGGAUAACCUACCUAUAAGACUGGGAUAACUUCGGGAAACCGGAGCUAAUACCGGAUAAUAUAUUGAACCGCAUGGUUCAAUAGUGAAAGACGGUUUUGCUGUCACUUAUAGAUGGAUCCGCGCCGCAUUAGCUAGUUGGUAAGGUAACGGCUUACCAAGGCAACGAUGCGUAGCCGACCUGAGAGGGUGAUAGGCCACACUGGAACUGAGACACGGUCCAGACUCCUAAGGGAGGCAGCAGUAGGGAAUCUUCCGCAAUGGGAGAAAGCCUGACGGAGCAACGCCGCGUGAGUGAUGAAGGUCUUCGGAUCGUAAAACUCUGUUAUUAGGGAAGAACAAAUGUGUAAGUAACUAUGCACGUCUUGACGGUACCUAAUCAGAAAGCCACGGCUAACUACGUG